GUAGGUGGCAAGCGUUGUCCGGAAUUAUUGGGGCGUAAAGCGCGCGCAGGCGGUUCGUUUAAGUCUGAUGUGAAAGCCCACGGGCUCAACCGUGGAGGGUCAUUGGAAACUGGAGAACUUGAGUACAGAAGGGGAAAGCGGAAUUCCACGUGUAGCGGUGAAAUGCGCAGAGAUGUGGAGGAACACCAGUGGCGAAGGCGGCUUUCUGGUCUGUAACUGACGCUGAGGCGCGAAAGCGUGGGGAGCAAACAGGAUUAGAUACCCUGGUAGUCCACGCCGUAAACGAUGAGUGCUAAGUGUUAGGGGGUUUCCGCCCCUUAGUGCUGCAGCUAACGCAUUAAGCACUCCGCCUGGGGAGUACGGCCGCAAAGGCUG
rnacentral:rRNA from 1 species